rnacentral:rRNA from 1 species
AGUGAACGCUGGCGGUAGGCCUAACACAUGCAAGUCGAACGGCAGCACAGUAAGAGCUUGCUCUUAUGGGUGGCGAGUGGCGGACGGGUGAGGAAUACAUCGGAAUCUACUUUUUCGUGGGGGAUAACGUAGGGAAACUUACGCUAAUACCGCAUACGACCUACGGGUGAAAGCAGGGGAUCUUCGGACCUUGCGCGAUUGAAUGAGCCGAUGUCGGAUUAGCUAGUUGGCGUGGUAACGGCCCACCAAGGCGACGAUCCGUAGCUGGUCUGAGAGGAUGAUCAGCCAUGCUGGAACUGAGACACGGUCCAGACUCCUACGGGAGGCAGCAGUGGGGAAUAUUGGCCAAUGGGCGCAAGCCUGAUCCAGCCAUACCGCGUGGGUGAAGAAGGCCUUUGGGUUGUAAAGCCCUUUUGUUGGGAAAGAAAAGCAGCAGGUUAAUACCCCGCUGUUCUGACGGUACCCAAAGAAUAAGCACCGGCUAACUUCGUG